AAAUAUUUUCUUUGUUCAUAAAAAUAUCCAAAAAUAUUUUCCGUAUUUCUUGAUGCCUUAUUUAAUUUUAUUUAAUUUUUAUUUUUGCAUUUAUUUAAUAUUAAUAUUUUAUUUUAAUUGUUUAUUCUAAGUGUCUAUUUUAGCAUACAUUAAAUUCUUGAUUUUAUUUUUAUAACUUAAAAUUAAUUUUAGCUUCUGAUUUUUGGGAUGAAGGUUGACCACUGCCCCAUGGUCAACCUGACUUUUU
rnacentral:lncRNA from 1 species